rnacentral:rRNA from 1 species
GACGAACGCUGGCGGCGUGCUUAACACAUGCAAGUCGAACGAAGUGGCGAACGGGUGAGUAACGCGUAAUCAACCUGCUCUUCUGAGGGGGACAACAGUUGGAAACGACUGCUAAUACCCUAUACUGUAGGAGGGGACUGCGUUUGAUUAGUUAGUUGGUGGGGUAACGGCCCACCAAGGCGAUGAUCAGUAGCCGGUCUGGGGAGAUGGACGGCCACAUUGGGACUGGGACACGGCCCAGACUCCUACGGGAGGCAGCAGUGGGGAAUCUUCCGCAAUGGGCGAAAGUCUGACGGGGCAACGCCGCGUGGGUGAUGACGGCCUUCGGGUUGUAAAGCUCUGUUAAUCAGGACGCGGUACCGCCCUAGAAAGCCACGGCUAACUACGUGCCAGCAGCCGCGGUAAUUC